GAUGAACGCUGGCGGCGUGCCUAAUACAUGCAAGUCGAGCGAACAGACGAGGAGCUUGCUCCUCUGACGUUAGCGGCGGACGGGUGAGUAACACGUGGAUAACCUACCUAUAAGACUGGGAUAACUUCGGGAAACCGGAGCUAAUACGGGAUAAUAUAUUGAACCGCAUGGUUCAAUAGUGAAAGACGGUUUUGCUGUCACUUAUAGAUGGAUCCGCGCCGCAUUAGCUAGUUGGUAAGGUACCGGCUUACCAAGGCAACGAUGCGUAGCCGACCUGAGAGGGUGAUCGGCCACACUGGAACUGAGACACGGUCCAGACUCCUACGGGAGGCAGCAGUAGGGAAUCUUCCGCAAUGGGCGAAAGCCUGACGGAGCAACGCCGCGUGAGAGAUGAAGGUCUUCGGAUCGUAAAACUCUGUUAUUAGGGAAGAACAAAUGUGUAAGUAACUAUGCACGUCUUGACGGUACCUAAUCAGAAAGCCACGGCUAACUACGUG
rnacentral:rRNA from 1 species